ACAUCAUCCUGUUCCUCUAAUGGAGGCUUCUCAGUCAGAUCCACACUGGAGAUUCCUUUAAAGAUAACAGUGAACUGAGUGAAUACUUACUUGCUGGCGUGGGAGAGAAAAUUGCAUGCAGAAGUUGGAAAACUCAGGACAGAAAACUCCAGGAUAAGUCGGGGUGAGCUGGCAUCCAAUGGGGACUUUGCUUCCACGGGGCUAAGUGAGAAACAGAGGAUAUAAGUCAGUCUUAGUUCUGCAGAGGCCAGCAGGAGGCCAAACCUCCUGGCAAAGCAGGUUAUAUAAUUGGGAAUUAUUCUAGACUGAUACAAAUUUAUGAUGAAAGGCUGAGAAUAUAUUAUUUAUUGAAAUCUGACUGGAAGUAUAUAGAAAACAAAUGAAAAUUAAAUGCAUGGCUCUGGGGACAAGCAAACCCUGGUGAUAAGAGGGAGAAGAACCAGAGCUGAUCCAGACAGACCCUUCUCAUAGAUCCAUCUGCCUCAGGGCUUGUACCAGUCUUUUCCUGAAGAAUGAGGGGAAGUGUUUGUUAAAAUAUACUCUCUGUCUUUGUCUGUCAAAGUUUCCAUUUCAGAAAAUCCUACUAGAAUUGGAUUGACUUGCUGGAAUUGUUGUAGUACUCACAGGUUUGUAUGCCUGCUGCACAGUAACAGACCAAAACACUGAGACUACAGGGAUGCAGCACAGAAAGAGUGUAGUGAUCGCAGGCCACCAAGCAAGGAGAAGGGAGGAGACCCUCAAAUUCCUCUACCCAAGGAACUUUUGCCUGGGGUUUCUAUGGGGAUCAUGGAGGGUGAGGGCCUGGAAGACUGGGGUCGUUGAUUGGUUGGGGGAAAGAAGGUGAAAUUAUCAGAAUGUGGAAACUGCACUCUUCGGUGAGUCAGCUCCUCCUGGGGUCCUCAGACAGCUGGCAUCAGUGGGGCCCUACAGACCAGCUGGCAUCAGCGGCAUCCUUCAGACCAGCUGGCAUUGGUAGUUUCACUCUUAUACAGGACCUAAAAGAAUUUCUCAAAGGGAAAACUUAACCUUUCAUAAUAUUCAAGUUGUUAUCUAUAGAGCAGGUAAGGAUAACUGGAAUCUUGUAACAGAGUCUACAUGAUUCUAGGACAUCAGGCAACAAGCAACCAUGAGGAAGCAGGUGAGACAGCAGCCUAACCUGGUGAUGAAUGCUGAAUGUGCUGCAAGCCAGCUUUCAUUUCAUUUACCCAUCUCUCUUCUUCCUUGAUUAAUUUUCAUAAAGUUUAUAGGGGUGGUUUCAGAAUAACUGAACAGUUCGAGGUCAGGGCAGUUUGGUCAUGUCUGAAUUGAGCUCGGUGGUGGAUCAGGAUGUGGCCCCUUCAUCUCUUGGCCCUAUUCUUCUCUGCCAGCCUUGCCCUCUUGGGAUCAUCUCCAGAGCUCCAGGCCAACAUGCUCCCUUGUGCACAUCCAGCAAAAAGAGGAGCCUCUAGUGCCAAUGGCACCAGCAUGAGGCCCACAUGUCAUUCUCAUUGGCUGUUACUGGGAUUUGUGCACCUCCCAGGAUGAACCACUGUGGUAAAUGAAAUAUGCCAAUAGGAUAAAGGGAGUCAGCUAAGAGAAAUCAGGGUGCUGGGAGGUAAGAUGAGUGCUAGGUGCUCAAGCAAUUACCUACUGAGUGAGAGUUUAAGCCUCAAUUCAAAUCUCACCUCCUCCAGGAAGCCCUCUCUGAUUUACUGAGUGUCUGCUUGUUCUGUUUACCUGCUUCAUUUUUUACAGUCCUGUUUCUACCUCCAAGCUGUGCAUUCCUUCAGUGUCUGUAACAUCCUGCUACCUAGCACCAAAUCCAUGGGAGAGGUGCUGAGAUACAUGUACACAGACAUGGGGUGCACAUAUACAUACUACAUAAGUGGCAGAGACAUGCAUUUAUUGGUAUCAUUGCAUGGAUACUUUGAGGGUAAAGUUGUAGACACUCCCACACUUCUUACCAAUACGCAUCGUAUAGCUAUAAUUUAUUGCAGGUAAUCUCAUUUAAUAAAACAGUUCUUGUCACAUGGAAGAUGCUCAGUAAAUAGUUUUUGGAUAAGUGAAUGCAAGCCCUAAAUAAUGAUACAUAAUGGUGGAUGAGGGAGUUGAGAUGGAAACAAAGUUUGUCUAUGUCCAAGGGCAAUGCUUUUAUUGUAAUGACUCACAUGUUUUCGGGUCUAACAACUUUGCCUAAAACACAGACUUCAGUAGAGCGGCCAAAGGCAAAUGUGCUCUGGUUAAAUAGCAGUGUGAAGCAGGUGUAUAUCUGUGUGGAAAGUUGUUGCCACCACCCACACAGCCACCCUGAGGUGCUCCCUGGAACACCAGGGCUCCCUGGAACCAUCUGCACGUCACACUCAAAUGCAAGCUGCCUGGUUUGAGUCCCUCUGACUGCUUGUCUCCCCAGUGUCACCUGGUUGGCUGGAUAGCUGGAAGGGGCAGUGAGACCCUGAUGUCUCUGGGAGAAAGAGGCCCUGAGAGGCAGUGCUCACUCACCAGCUUUGAGGCUUUCUUCAAGGAAGUCCCCCUAUGCCCCGCUCCUGGAUCCCACAAGCUGAGGCUCCAUGCCUCAGGGACUGAAGAGCACGGGCCCCACACAGCUCACUGCAGGGGGUUGGGAGGCCUUGGUUGUGUGACCCCAGACAAUGAACUUUGGCUAGGUUGGAUCUUGAUGCUCCUGGCCUGCUUAUCUAGUAACACAAAGUAUUUCUAAUUUAAAUGAUAAUAACAAAUUGGAAAAAAAAUGCUUGCAUGCAUUCAGUGAACUGUGACCAUCAUCCGUGUUACUCCUGGAUCUGGUGCUGACGGAACAUUAUUAAGCCCUUAUCUACGACGCCCACACUAAGCAUGUUGCUGAUGGAAUUAGCAGAACAGGUGUGGUAUUCUAUACCUUGAGCUCUUCAGAACACAUGCCCUCCUUGUGUUGUCAGAGCAAUAACUGAGAAAAUGUUCUCUUAAAAGGAGAGAGCAGUCACAAAGAAGUUGACAUUCUUUCUUAAGGUAAGUUAAGAGAACACAUGUUUUCAGAUGGAAAAUUGUGUUUCCUUUUUACUCUUUUCUGUCCAGAGUCAGCGAUAUGGAGUAAAUCCAUCACUAGGAGAACACCUUUCUCUUCCAGAAUUGCUGAUGAAUCAUUAGGUAAAGCCGGGGCCACCGGCAGAGUGGCCUUCUGGCAGAUGGCUGGGGCUUGGGAAAUGCACAUCUUCUCUCGGCUCAGCUAUGUGGUUCUUCUUUCUUCAAGAAGCCAAAGUACUGGGUGUACCCCACAAAGUCACAACUGGGCACAGACGGGAAAGGCUGGCUGUCAGCACCUUGCUGGCCAUGGUCGUGGACCCCAGAGUGAGCUGACAAAGCAGUCAGUCCAAGCAUGGCUGCAGGAGCGCCAGAAGGCGCUGGGUGCUAACACUUAGGAGGCAGCAUGGACAGUGGAGGGCUAUAGAGGAGGCCCCACAUGAGGGACAGAAUGAGGGUCCACUGGCUGCCUGCACUGCCUGAUGCUCCUGCUAUGGCGGCAGAAGGCCAGGCCCCUAGCAGGGCUGCUGCUGUGUGGAUUCUGAUGCCACUAAUGACUUAUCGUGCAUCUGGGCCUCUGACUCUGGGUGCCUCUUAGGGCUGAGAUAAGGAUGAGGGGAGAGAACAAAUGGGAAAUGCCCAGGCUCACUCUCAGCACCAAGUGGUCUGUGCAGCCCAGGAGCCUGGAGGCAAGCCCUCGCAGGAGCCCAAGGGAUCCAAACUGAAGCACUGUUUUCUGACAUCUAGUAUUUAAACCUAACAUUUUGCAUGAAUUUAUUUUCCACCACACGCUUGUAUGAAUAAAAACAGAUGACUUCCCCUCCUAAUUAAGCAGAACUGACAUGUACUGGUGGCUCCUGGCCCAUGGCCCACACUGAGGAGGAACAACAAUAACGUUAGCAUGAAAGGUGAUAAUUGGUCCUUUUAGAAAGCUGUGGAAGUGGGCACUGGAAGACGUGUUUGCCUCAGCUGCAGAUGGGUGCGACAUAUCAAGGGAGCCCUCCUGGCCCGUCCUGCCCUGUACCAAGUUUCACCUGAUGCUCACUCUCCCACAUCUUCUGCUUCAGGAAAGCCCAGCAUGCCUCGGUCUGGGAAGGCAGCCUAUUAUUCCAGCCCCAUAACCUCUCCUCUUGCCACUCCAUGUCCCCACCCACUCCCACCUGGACACUUACAGGACUCCAGCACUGCCUCCUCCAAGAAGCCUUCCUGGACUCCGUCAGCCCACAUUGGGCUUGUUAACACUGAUUAUCUGAAAAAUUUGGGGUAUCACCUCAUGACAUGCUGUGCUAUAUUCCAUCACCACCUUGCCCAAGACUCACAAGCAGCAGGUGACAGUCCAGAUUCAAAUCUGGGUGUGCCUGGCUGAGCACCCAUGGCUUCUCUGCAGACUUAGCCCCAGCUGCAGCCCCCUGUCUGCCCCAUCUGUUUCAUCAUCUCCUCACCCAGUUUCUGGGUGCUCCUGAUAAUGUUCUGUUUGUUAGGCUGGGCCCUGAGAAGGUACCCAGAAAGCCUUAAGCAUUCAUGGAAAUGAGCCCACAGGCUGUGUGAUCCAGCAGACAAGCUGAUCGAGCACGAGAGUGGUCCACAAGAGCAGCCGUGGCACAGCCAGGCUUUAACCUCCUUGUGCUUGGGCUCGUGCUCCGCUGAACCAUGGAAGUCUUGUGAUAGAGUAAGGACCGGCUGGUGUGGGAGGCAAGAGGAGGAUGGGUACACAUGUUGCCAUUAGUCAGCCUUGUCUUAGCCACCAAAUCGGGCCUCCUUCAUGAGAGAGUCUAAUGUUUUAUGGUUUUCCCUACAAUGUGAGUGCUCAGAAGAGAAAGACUAUUCUAUUAUACUCACGCCCACGUCCAACACGGUGCCUGGAGCACAGUGAAUGCUUACUCCCAGUGUGGGGAUGAGCGGCUGAUGGGCUGGGGAGGGAGAGGGAGCCUGGGGUUCUCUUUCGUCCUAGCUGGGAAUCCUGACCGGCUGCUAGGCCCACUUCAGCAUCUAUAAAACAAGGUAUGUCGCUGGUCUUUGGGCUGCUGGAAGGAAUAGUGAUUUCACAUAAGAGAGGCACCACCUGGCCCCGGAUAGCAGGUCCUUCAGUUUUGUCUCAAGGUGGCUGAGGACGCCUGGGGGUGUCCCAGGAGGGAUGCUGAGGCCAGGUCUGGGGCAUGGAGAAAGUUGGGCAGGUGUAAUAUGCAUGCCCUAGGUGUGCCUGUAUCUGCCAUUUUGUCUUUGCAAGAACUCAGAAGAGUAAAAAUUUGUAGUUCUUCUCAUGGAAAGAGUGAAGGGAGCCCCAUCGUGCCCCGUGAAGCUGCUCUGCACCUGGCUCUCCUGUUCUGUGGCCCUGCCUUCCACGAUGUCAGAAUAAAUCAUCUAGUUAACUGACUAUGGGGUGGGGCGCCAGGAGGGAAACCAGGUGGGGAGAUUGGCAAUGAGACAGAAAUGACUCGUUUUGCCACUGGUUGUGUUGGCAUUUUGUAGACACAGCCCUGGGCUCACUCACUGCAUCACCUCCCACAUUAGGCCAUUAGGAGGGGAAUUUUUUGUGUAGAGUACAAAGUAUUGAUUGUCCAUCUUUCUUAACAUUUUAAUUGCAUUUCAGAGAACACUGAGCUGCAGUCAAUGUGGGGCUGCCUGGUUUCCCUUUGCCCUCAGGGGAACAGAUAAUCUGGAGAAGCAAGAAUGAAGAAAGCAGCCUUAUAAACAAACCAGAAGAAUUAAGAGUGAGGACAGCUCUACCCAGCCCGGCUGGCAGCUGGCCACACUGCAAACCUGCUUGUGGGAAAGCUGGUUUUUGGGGUGCAAAAGAAAAAUACUAAAAUCAGCUUUCUGGUGUGGAAACUCAGGCAAGUGCAGGCACAUAUGCUCACCUUGGCUGUUCCCAGAAGUGCCUAAGCUGCCACAUGCUAUCUACCUGUGUCCUGCUGAGCUGCCUGAGCACAGGGACCAUGUUCCAUCGCACAGGUCAUGCAGAUGGGCAGCAGGUGCCAGGAACCCAAGUGGCAGAAGGUAGAGGUGAGAAAGCCCUGAGAAGCUGGCCCUUCAGGGCUCAUAGGGAGCCAUAGACCGUUUCUGUUCCAUGGGGAGUGCGUGUGCUGGGGACUGCGGAGAGGCAGGAGACCCUCCAGGCCCUUCCUUCAAUGCACACCAUCAGUGCUGUCCUUGGAGUUCUGAGGCUCUGGCUGAAAGAAGAUGCAUCGAUCCAGUUUUAAACCACAGCUAAAUAAGCCUGGGGUUAUAAAUUAAAUAUAACCAAGCAAAGUGCCUCCAGAAACUGCCCCAAGCUUGGUUGUGUUUAGAAAGCUUCCCAGCUCCCUCCAGGCCAUGUGGUCUCUCCAGGUUCUGACUGAGGACUGGAGUUGCUGGCUCCGUUUACUUGGUGCCUGUCAUUUUCUGCUUUGUGAUUUAUUUUGUGCUGGCAUCUUCUACAGCUAUUUAACUUUUCAUGAGUGUGCAUGUCUCAUCUUUUUGCCUAUAUUGCAAAAUGCCUCAGGGGUUGAGACUGCACCAUAUGCUUCAGAAUCAGCAUUUGAUCUCUGUUUUGAAAGGUCCUCUUCUCCCAGGGUCUCACUUUGCGGGCGAAGGACCCUGGCCUGAAAGUUCGAAUGAGUCUCCUAGGCUAAAGGAGGUAUGGGGCAGGGCUGGGCUGGAACUCAGCUCUCCCGAGGCUUAGGUUCCCCAGCACUGUUGAAAAGACUGAACUGCUGCUUUUCCAACUAGGUGAGAGGGGCACACCCCUCAAAGUUAUCACGCACAGUGGAUCAUCUUUCCUUCCUUUAUUAAACAAAAUCAUUUUCACUGAUAAUCGUGCAAUAACCAGUAAUGGUUUCUUGAGUCAUUCUUUAGUUUAAGACAAUAAAUUAUUUAAAAAGAAAAACUUUUAAUUUCAAAUAUAUCAUUAAAUUUAAUAAAUUAUUUCAUGUAUGAAAUAAAGUUUGCGCUUACCAAACAAA
rnacentral:lncRNA from 1 species